rnacentral:rRNA from 1 species
CGGCAGGCCGGCAACCCGUUGAACCCCAUUCGUGAUAGGGAUCGGGGAUUGCAAUUAUUUCCCAUGUACGAGGAAUUCCCAGUAAGUGCGGGUCAUAAGCUUGCGUUGAUUAAGUCCCUGCCCUUUGUACACACCGNCCGUCGCUACUACCGAUUGGAUGGUUUAGUGGGCCCUCGGAUCGGCCCGCCGGGGUCGGCCCACGGCCCUGGCGGAGCGCUGAGAAGACGGUCGAACUNGACUAUCUAGAGGAAGUAAAAGUCGUAAGAAGGUUUCCGUAGGUGAAUCCUGCGGAAGGAUCAUUA